GGAGGAUCUCUGUCAAGAUAAUGGUGCUUACACUGCCACCACGGAAUGAGAAGCAGGUGACUCACUACUGAUCAUCUGCUGCUCACUCACUUCCACUGCAGAGGAACUGUGCUCCCCACAAAUAGUUGGCUCCCAGCACAGAGCAGUGGGGCCUGGUUGGAGAGUGAGCUCAUUGGGAGCCGAGUCAGAGCUGAACUUGGAAGAAGUGAAGUGCAAGAUAAAUCAUCCAUAGAUUUCAUUUCCUGAAUAAGAAGGAAGCUUUCAGAAGAAGGGAAUAUGAAUGACGCAGGUCUUUAAAAUAGGUGGAAGAAACACAAAUCGGUGUGUCGGAGAGAACGUCGGACUGCAAACUUAAGGCCAGAACCACGCGUUCUCAUCAGUGACGGCAAGAAUGAGGGGAGAUGAUGUUCGCCUCAAGUGCGAGUUGGGGAUUGAAGGGAAGGUGCAUAGAGUGCUAGUCCACGUCACUCAUCAUAUAAUCUGCUCUCCACUGUCUUCACCCUGUUCACUGUCCCUGGAGACUGACUUGUGUGGACCACACCAACAGGCACCCUUGCACUUUGUCUGAUGGUUUAGUGCAGCCAAUCAGGACCUCCAAAGGGAAUCAAAGAGAGGAAGGGAAGUGACGGUAAGGAAUUACUUCCCUUCUCAUCUUUCUGUAGGGCCUCCAUCUAGCUCUGUUACCCAACGCAAGGUCACUGCUCCUCACAUGGUGACCAGUUCUAGAUGACUUUUUCCUUCAGGAUUCACACAACUCUUCCUCCCUCAUCUCUUUGGGUUUAGGGGUGAUGACCCUCUUUCCUUAUUAACCUUAGGGUGUUGCACCGUGCUUUGUGUUUU